AGAGGCUUAGGAUAAUCUUAAACCAAGGGCCUUCAAAGCCCUAAACAGGGACUAUAACCCCCUAGCCUCUGUC
rnacentral:tRNA from 1 species